rnacentral:lncRNA from 7 species
AGCGCUGAUGGACGGCCGAACCGUUCGUUUCGUUUCCUUCUCGAGGUGGUGGCACAGAGCUCCAUCCCAGUGCUCCCAGUAAGCGGCUGUCCCCAGCCUUGCACCAGGACUGGAUGUUGGUGACUCACAGAGCGCAGACCCCAAAGGCACAGCUGGGAGCUCAGCUCCAUCCCGCUGUGCACUGCAGUGAAUCACUUCCAGCAGGAGAUGCUGCGGCCUCAGACGGUGCCGUGGGAUGCAAAGCAGGGGGUUCGUUCCGUAGGGAGCGUCGUGGCUUCAUCCUGUCUGCGUGCACACACUGCCUGCCCAACGCUCCGCGCUGCUCUGCCCACAAAGGAAGAUGCAAAGCUCCUCUUGCAGAUACCAGCCCACAAGCGCAGAGUUCCUGGAGCUUCUCCAUGCUGGGCUCCAUCCCAGCCCCAUUGGUUCCCAUCCUGCAGUUCGUGCUCAGCUCUCACAGCAUCCGCCCCCCCCGACCUCCCCACAGCUCCCUGUUUGCCCAUCCUUCACACCCCUUAUCCCCAUUGCUCCAUGCACUUUGGCACCACGCUGUCCCUCCCUCCUCUCCCACCAUCCUAAAAUCCCAGCAAGGCCAAGAAGAAGCCAAUCCCCUUUUCUCCACCAUGCACAGAACCAGAUCUGCUUCCAAAGGAGUGGAGAGACCCACUCAGUCCUCCUGCAUCGGCUUCAACGUCUGUGGGAAAGCAGAGCAGUCAGCAAUGAGGAAGGCAUUUAUGGGAGGAUUUGCUUCAUCUGCUUCUGGAAAAAGCUGAUAAAGCAAUAAAUAAGGGGCUGGAAGGGCAGGGAGCGAAACUGCCCCCGGAUGUUCGCUUUGGAGGUUGGAAUUGGGAGUGAGAAUAACGGAGGGGAAUUGUGUUUCUCCCUUCCCAACGGCGAGCAGAGCUGGAUGGGACCCAAAAGGAAGGCACCAACAAACCAG